rnacentral:rRNA from 1 species
UACGUAGGGUGCGAGCGUUUAAUCGGAAUUACUGGGCGUAAAGCGUGCGCAGGCGGUUUGCUAAGACCGAUGUGAAAUCCCCGGGCUCAACCUGGGAACUGCAUUGGUGACUGGCAGGCUAGAGUAUGGCAGAGGGGGGUAGAAUUCCACGUGUAGCAGUGAAAUGCGUAGAGAUGUGGAGGAAUACCGAUGGCGAAGGCAGCCCCCUGGGCCAAUACUGACGCUCAUGCACGAAAGGCGUGGGGAGCAAACGAGG